GUCACAAUUUGUGUUAAACUGUCCUGUGAUAAUCAUGAUUUACCUCAAAAAGUAACCUAGUCUCUCUCCUCCUCACCUUUCAAAAAAAUUCUAGUAACCCUAUUACAUUGGUCCAAUACUUCAGAGUAUGAAAUCUCACAACUGUGAGAGGAAAAUCAAACUUGUUUUAGCUGAGCCUUAUUUCUGAAGUUUCUUUAAUGACCUUAGAUGGCAUAACUAUUUGUAGAGUAAAUGCAUCACAGAAACCAGAUGUGGUAGUCCUUAGUAGACUGAUACACGUCCAGUCAUGGAAAGCAUUUCUAGACCCGUUUUUAAAUGCAAAUUCCAUUAAAUGAACAUAAACUAUGUACGCCAACAAUUUCACAUUGAAGGAUAUUCUGUUACCCUCGCUCAUUUUAACUUGUGGCUCCCUUCUCAAAUAAUCUCAAAAUAGUUAAUAAAAAUUCCUGCUCAGGCCUCAUACAGUGCACAGGUCUGUUUUUCUGUGUAGAAGUAGAGUUUAAACAAGGAACUGUAUGGAUUUUUCUCUUACAAUAUGAGUGCUAUCUAAAAUGCAAGUUCAGUUCACAAUAACAAUGUGAACUGAAUACAAGAGUAUUGUAUUCAAUACAAGAGUGUAUCAUUUUCUGUCUGAUCAGAUACUCCAUCUGUCUGAAAUUAUCUGCAAAGUAGAUGACAGUCCAGACUUUUCCCCAAUAAAAAAAACGUAUUGUGAUUAUAGGAGAGUGGCCAUAAUCUUCCUAGAAACUGUAGAAAAGAUGCUAGUGCCUGUGUAAUGUUUAUUAAGUAGAACAGAGUGGAUGACACAGAAUCCAUCUUUACCAAAAACAGUUCUUUUUCUUUCUUUCUUUAUUUUUUGUCAAACAGAAAUCAAAAUUCUACUGAAAUCAAGGUACCCAGUGCUCUACUUUGGGGACACUACUCCAGAUAUUCCACAUGGAAGAAGAAAGCUGUGAGUUUCCCUAUGCAGACUGGUGUUGCAGCUUUGCCCUUCACCUAUUCUUUCCACUACACAGGGCUACCUGGAAAACCACUUCAGACACAAAUAUUGUGUCUUCUGUCUGGCUCAGCUGCACAGAGCCUCACAAGAGUAACAGGACUGUUGAAUGAAUGACAUUCAGCUUGGCUGCAGAGGGAUGGGACUUCAAACACUUCGAACCUUUCAAAACAUCUGCCUCAACUUGUAAGGUAAAUUCAGAUUCUGCCUUAUAGCCUGGAGGUUUCUGCAAUUCCUAAAGGAAUUGCAGAAGUGAUGUCCUUCUUUUCUUCCUCAUUAGUUCCUGUCUGUCCAUGACCCAGAUUGAGAAGCUAGAUUAGAGCCAUUACAGCCAAACGCUGUAAGGUGCUUUUGCUCACCUGGUAGCUGAAGUUCACUGGCUGCCAUCAACAUUCUAAAGCAG
rnacentral:lncRNA from 1 species